rnacentral:rRNA from 1 species
UACGUAGGGGCAAGCGUUGUCCGGAUUUAUUGGGCGUAAAGAGCGUGUAGGCGGCCAGACAGGUCAGCUGUGAAAACUCGAGGCUCAACCUCGAGACGUCGGUUGAAACCGUCUGGCUAGAGUCCGGAAGAGGAGAGUGGAAAUUCCCGGUGUAGCGGUGAAAUGCGCAGAUAUCAGGAGGAACACCGGAUGGCGAAGGCAGCUCGCUGGGACGUGACUGACGCUGAGACGCGAAAGCGUGGGGAGCAAACAGG